rnacentral:ribozyme from 1 species
AGCAAAGAAAAUGAGGUUGUAAAUUUAGGACGACAUUUUCUUUUCUCUUAUCAUUUCCUGUUUUCUUUCUUUUAGCAUUUUUU